AUUGAACGCUGGCGGCAGGCUUAACACAUGCAAGUCGAGCGGAGACUUCGGUCUUAGCGGCGAACGGGUGAGGAAUGCCUGGGAAUCUGCCUGGUAGUGGGGGAUAACGUUCCGAAAGGAACGCUAAUACCGCAUACGUCCUACGGGAGAAAGCAGGGGACCUUCGGGCCUUGCGCUAUCAGAUGAGCCCAGGUCGGAUUAGCUAGUAGGUGAGGUAAAGGCUCACCUAGGCGACGAUCCGUAGCUGGUCUGAGAGGAUGAUCAGCCACACUGGAACCUGAGACACGGUCC
rnacentral:rRNA from 1 species